rnacentral:rRNA from 1 species
AUAUUCUGUGAGCAGGAAAGCAGGGGACCGCAAGGCCUUGCGCUCUUUGAGCGGCCGAUGUCAGAUUAGCUAGUUGGUGAGGUAAAGGCUUACCAAGGCGACGAUCUGUAGCGGGUCUGAGAGGAUGAUCCGCCACACUGGAACUGAGACACGGUCCAGACUCCUACGGGAGGCAGCAGUGGGGAAUUUUGGACAAUGGGGGCAACCCUGAUCCAGCCAUGCCGCGUGAGUGAAGAAGGCCUUCGGGUUGUAAAGCUCUUUCGGCCGGGAAGAAAUCGCAUGGGCCAAUACCCUGUGUGGAUGACGGUACCGGAAUAAGAAGCACCGGCUAACUACGUGCCAGCAGCCGCGGUAAUACGUAGGGUGCGAGCGUUAAUCGGAAUUACUGGGCGUAAAGCGUGCGCAGGCGGUUUUGUAAGACAGGCGUGAAAUCCCCGGGCUUAACCUGGGAACUGCGUUUGUGACUGCAAGGCUAGAGUACGGCAGAGGGGGGUGGAAUUCCACGUGUAGCAGUGAAAUGCGUAGAGAUGUGGAGGAACACCAAUGGCGAAGGCAGCCCCCUGGGUCGAUACUGACGCUCAUGCACGAAAGCGUGGGUAGCAAACAGGAUUAGAUACCCUGGUAGUCCACGCCCUAAACUAUGUCAACUAGGUGUUGGGUGGGUAAAACCAUUUAGUACCGUAGCUAACGCGUGAAGUUGACCGCCUGGGGAGUACGGCCGCAAGGUUAAAACUCAAAGGAAUUGACGGGGACCCGCGCAAGCGGUGGAUGAUGUGGAUUAAUUCGAUGCAACGCGAAAAACCUUACCUACCCUUGACAUGCCAGGAACUUGCCAGAGAUGGCUUGGUGCCCGAAAGGGAGCCUGGACACAGGUGCUGCAUGGCUGUCGUCAGCUCGUGUCGUGAGAUGUUGGGUUAAGUCCCGCAACGAGCGCAACCCUUGUCGUUAAUUGCCAUCAUUUAGUUGGGCACUUUAACGAGACUGCCGGUGACAAACCGGAGGAAGGUGGGGAUGACGUCAAGUCCUCAUGGCCCUUAUGGGUAGGGCUUCACACGUCAUACAAUGGUCGGUACAAAGGGUUGCCAAGCCGCGAGGCGGAGCCAAUCCCAGAAAGCCGAUCGUAGUCCGGAUUGCAGGCUGCAACUCGCCUGCAUGAAGUCGGAAUCGCUAGUAAUCGUGGAUCAGCAUGUCACGGUGAAUACGUUCCCGGGUCUUGUACACACCGCCCGUCACACCAUGGGAGCGGGUUCCGCCAGAAGUAGGUAGCCUAACCGCAAGGGGGGCGCUUACCACGGCGGGGUUCGUGACUGGGGUGAAGUCGUAACAAGGUA